GUGUUAUCUGCUUAAGGACCCCCAAUAAUUUCAAAUCCGAGUCGAUCUACACCACGCGCUUGUCUCUGCGGAAAUCGAAACCCUUCAACUUCUACCAUGGACAUGUGAAGGUCCUCGAUCUGGAAGCUUAACAAUGACAA